rnacentral:sRNA from 1 species
GCAGCCUGGGCGGCUCCGCUAGCUGUUUUUCGUCUUCCCUGGGUUAUUUCUGCUGGGCGCUACGCGAAGAUGCAGCUCAAGCCGAUGGAGAUCAACCCCGAGAUGCUGAACAAAGUGAGUGGCGUCUCGCGCCGUCUCUGGCCCCCUCCCCCGCGAGCGCCGAGGCGGGGGCGCCCACCGGCUCCGGCUGCUGGCAGGGACCAAGCCGCCCGCUGCGCGCACUGUAGACGGCCGGGCUGGGGCGUGGGCUGGGCGCCUUCCUGGGUCCCUGCAUUUAGCGGGUGACUCUACGAAACCGGUCACGGGGAGACAGAGGGGGCUGCGCCCCGUGGCGAGCGAGCGCCGGGCGGAGCUCCCGAGGGCGUGGCGCGGGCAGCACAGACUCGGCUGCACGGGCAUCGCGGGCGCCACGUGUGGGCCGCGCUUUGUGCUGUGUCAUUGCGCCGGCCCGGGUGGGGGUGGCAGGGCGGGACUGGGGCUCCUCCCAGGCUCGGGUGCGGGCGCGGAGGGCGCGCGCCUCCUGGCCCCGCCCCCUGACAGGUGCCCACGACCCGCGUGUCCCCGUGCGCCUGGCCGCCUUGUCUCCUCUCCGCAGGUGCUGUCCCGGCUGGGGGUCGCCGGCCAGUGGCGCUUCGUGGACGUGCUGGGGCUGGAAGAGGAGUCUCUGGGCUCGGUGCCAGCGCCUGCCUGCGCGCUGCUGCUGCUGUUUCCCCUCACGGCCCAGGAACUUCAGGAAAAAGCAGAUUGAAGAGCUGAAGGGACAAGAAGUUAGUCCUAAAGUGUACUUCAUGAAGCAGACCAUUGGGAAUUCCUGUGGCACAAUCGGACUUAUUCAUGCAGUGGCCAAUAAUCAAGAUAAACUGGGAUUUGAGGAUGGAUCAGUUCUGAAACAGUUUCUUUCUGAAACAGAGAAAAUGUCCCCUGAAGACAGAGCAAAAUGCUUUGAAAAGAAUGAGGUAAGAGAACUUUCAGAGCAUUGCCUUUAAAUAACUCUAGAGAUUUUUGUGCUAAUUAUUUUCUUUCUUCCGCAGGCCAUACAGGCAGCCCAUGAUGCCGUGGCACAGGAAGGCCAAUGUCGGGUAGAUGACAAGGUGAAUUUCCAUUUUAUUCUGUUUAACAACGUGGAUGGCCACCUCUAUGAACUCGAUGGACGAAUGCCUUUUCCGGUGAACCAUGGUGCCAGUUCAGAGGACACCCUGCUGAAGGACGCUGCCAAGGUCUGUAGAGAAUUCACCGAGCGUGAGCAAGGAGAAGUCCGCUUCUCUGCCGUGGCUCUCUGCAAGGCAGCCUAAUGCUCUGUGGGAGGGACUUUGCUGAUUUCCCCUCUUCCCUUCAACAUGAAAAUAUAUAACCCCCCAUGCAGUCUAAAAUGCUUCAGUACUUGUGAAACACAGCUGUUCUUCUGUUCUGCAGACACGCCUUCCCCUCAGCCACACCCAGGCACUUAAGCACAAGCAGAGUGCACAGCUGUCCACUGGGCCAUUGUGGUGUGAGCUUCAGAUGGCGAAGCAUUCUCCCCAGUAUAUGUCUUGUAUCCGAUAUCUAAUGCUUUAAAUGGCUACUUUGGUUUCUGUCUGUAAGUUAAGACCUUGGAUGUGGUUUAAUUGUUUGUCCUCAAAAGAAAUAAAACUUUUCUGCUGAUAGGAU